GACAGAGGGUGCAAGCGUUAAUCGGAAUUAUUGGGCGUAAAGCGCGCGUAGGUGGAUUUGUAAGUUGGAUGUGAAAUCCCUGGGCUUAACCUGGGAACUGCAUUCAAAACUGCAAGUCUAGAGUAUAGUAGAGGGAAGUGGAAUUUCCGGUGUAGCGGUGAAAUGCGUAGAUAUCGGAAAGAACAUCAGUGGCGAAGGCGACUUCCUGGACUAAUACUGACACUGAGGUGCGAAAGCGUGGGGAGCAAACAGG
rnacentral:rRNA from 1 species